rnacentral:rRNA from 1 species
GGACGAACGCCGGCGGCGUGCCUUAUACCUGCAAGUUGAGCGGACCGACGGGAGCUUGCUUCCUUAGGUUAGCGGCGGACGGGUGAGUAACACGUGGGUAACCUGCCUGUAAGACUGGGAUAACUCCGGGAAACCGGGGCUAAUUCCGGAUGCUUGAUUGAACCGCAUGGUUCCAAUCAUAAAAGGUGGCUUUUAGCUACCACUUACAGAUGGACCCGCGGCGCAUUAGCUAGUUGGUGAGGUAACGGCUCACCAAGGCGACGAUGCGUAGCCGACCUGAGAGGGUGAUCGGCCACACUGGGACUGAGACACGGCCCAGACUCCUACGGGAGGCAGCAGUAGGGAAUCUUCCGCAAUGGACGAAAGUCUGACGGAGCAACGCCGCGUGAGUGAUGAAGGUUUUCGGAUCGUAAAACUCUGUUGUUAGGGAAGAACAAGUACCGUUCGAAUAGGGCGGCACCUUGACGGUACCUAACCAGAAAGCCACGGCUAACUACGUGCCAGCAGCCGCGGUAAUACGUAGGUGGCAAGCGUUGUCCGGAAUUAUUGGGCGUAAAGCGCGCGCAGGCGGUUUCUUAAGUCUGAUGUGAAAGCCCCCGGCUCAACCGGGGAGGGUCAUUGGAAACUGGGGAACUUGAGUGCAGAAGAGGAGAGUGGAAUUCCACGUGUAGCGGUGAAAUGCGUAGAGAUGUGGAGGAACACCAGUGGCGAAGGCGACUCUCUGGUCUGUAACUGACGCUGAGGCGCGAAAGCGUGGGGAGCGAACAGGAUUAGAUACCCUGGUAGUCCACGCCGUAAACGAUGAGUGCUAAGUGUUAGAGGGUUUCCGCCCUUUAGUGCUGCAGCAAACGCAUUAAGCACUCCGCCUGGGGAGUACGGUCGCAAGACUGAAACUCAAAGGAAUUGACGGGGGCCCGCACAAGCGGUGGAGCAUGUGGUUUAAUUCGAAGCAACGCGAAGAACCUUACCAGGUCUUGACAUCCUCUGACAACCCUAGAGAUAGGGCUUCCCCUUCGGGGGCAGAGUGACAGGUGGUGCAUGGUUGUCGUCAGCUCGUGUCGUGAGAUGUUGGGUUAAGUCCCGCAACGAGCGCAACCCUUGAUCUUAGUUGCCAGCAUUCAGUUGGGCACUCUAAGGUGACUGCCGGUGACAAACCGGAGGAAGGUGGGGAUGACGUCAAAUCAUCAUGCCCCUUAUGACCUGGGCUACACACGUGCUACAAUGGGCAGAACAAAGGGCAGCGAAGCCGCGAGGCUAAGCCAAUCCCACAAAUCUGUUCUCAGUUCGGAUCGCAGUCUGCAACUCGACUGCGUGAAGCUGGAAUCGCUAGUAAUCGCGGAUCAGCAUGCCGCGGUGGAAUACGUUUCCCGGGCCUUGUACACACCGCCCGUCACACCACGAGAGUUUGUAACACCCGAAGUCGGUGAGGUAACCUUUUGGAGCCAGCC